CAUGGCCUAUCAUCGCAUGAAAAAUGCAGCGAGCCAUAGACGCCCCAAGAGCGCCGUCACACUCGCACUUCAGCCGUCCGCCACCUCACUACCUGAGCCGACUGGAGGCUCUGCGUAGACUUAUUUUUCUAUACACCUUGCGAGUUCGCGAAGAAGGAAUAAUGCGAAGCCUCACUUUCACGUUCAAGGUUCUUUCGCUCUGCGGCAUCUGGUUGCCGCUGCACUGGCAGUCGCACAGGAGACUCAGGCUGUUCUACAAGAUUUUCUCGAUAAGCACCGUCGUCCUCACUAACAUCUUCAUCUUGCUCCAGGGAUUGCUGCUUGCUUUGAGCGAGUUCGACUGGCAAUUCCUCGCGGAGAUAUUGUUCACCCUGCUCACCGCCUUCUCUGUCAGCUUCAAGGCGACGAACUUUCUGAUGAGGAGGGACAAGAUCAUCUGCCUUGCGGACAUGCUGCUGAAGAGCUGGUGCAUUCCCAGAAACGCCGUGGAGAUCGAGAUGGAGAGCCGAAUUAACGAGUUUCUUAGGGUCUUCACGAUCUACUUCAAUGCACUAGCUCAGCUAUCACUAGCCUGUCUGCUCAUAAUGCCUUUGGUACAGGAUCCGGAUAAACGCGAGCUGCCGUUUCGCAUGUGGUUGCCGUACGACAUCCGAAACCAGUGGAACUAUUGGUCGACGUACGUGAUCGAGGUCGGACCAAUGAUAGUCGGCAUCCUGCUCAACGUCACUACCGACGUCGUCGUCAGCGGAUUCGUUUUGCAGGCUUGCAUACAGCUGGACAUGCUGAAACACAGACUGAACAAACUUCCGAACAUCGUCAAGGUAGCCAAGAGGAAGAGGCUCGCUUCUGAAGAAGUUGUCAGAUCGUUCGAGAGAAAGACGUUGCACCAGGCUGCACGGCAUCAUGAUUACAUUAUCAAGUACGCAAAAGUGGUGACCGAGACAUUCGAUGUGGUAAUAGUGGAGCAGUUUUUCGCAGGCGCGCUCAUCUUUUCCGUCAUCAUCUAUGUAUUGACGAUAGGCAAAGUUCCGAUACUUCAAAAAUUGAUGUCCGUCGGCUACCUCAUUUGUAUGCUGGGCGAGUUGUUCGCCUAUUGUUGGUUCGGAAACGAGAUCACUCUCAAGAAUCUUGAAUUUUUCAGAGUUUGGAAUUCAGCGAUGACAUUUACAAGAUCGAUUGGAUGGCGCUGAGCGACAGCUCGAACAAGAAGCUUAUUUUUAUAAUGAUGCGAGCUACCCAGCCCAUCAUCAUGAGCUACGGUCACUUGGUUAUUCUCAAUAUCGAGUCUUUCAAAAGUAUACUCAAGAUAACGUAUACGGCGUUUAACAUUUUGAAGGAAUCCACGAGCACGACGUAAAAAUCUAAAAGACAAUGCAAGCUUUUUUCCUUUAAUUUUAAGAAAAGCGAAAAACUGGAUAUUUUAAAAUCAUAGUUAUAUUUUGUAAAAUAAUUUUUUAGAUCCAAGCAAAAAUUAAUAUACGAUCAUAUAUACUAACUGUAAUUUAUUUUUAGCAAGUAUAUAUUUUCUAGUAUUAUAUUUGUCGAAAAUAGAUGGAAUGCACUAUUA